ACACGGGUAUGUAUGUUACAGGUGACACGGGUAUGUAUGUUACAGGUGACACGGGUAUGUAUGUUACAGGUGACACGGGUAUGUAUGUUACAGGUGACACGGGUAUGUAUGUUACAGGUG